rnacentral:sRNA from 1 species
GGCCUUUUGGUAACUCACUGGCUUCGAGUUCCAUUGGAACUUCGAAGUUAAGCGAGUUUGGGCGAGAGUAAUCCUAGGAUGGGUGACCUACUGGGAAGUUCUGCUCACGUGAGUUCCCAGAAACAAAACCAUGAGGGCGUGGUCGGGGCCCAAAGUGGACAAUAUCAUGCUACGGUGGAGUCGAGCCCGGGAUAUGAUGGGGGCUCGAGCCGGGAUGUGACAAUUUGGUAUCAGAGCCAAUCCUUGGCCAAAAGUAUGCCGACGAGGACGUCAGGCCCCUAAGAGGGGUGGAUUGUAACAUCCCAUAUCACCGAGGGGAGUGGAUCCUAUAAGCCUUAUGUAUAUUCCCAUCUCUUCCUAGCACAAGGCCUUUUGAGAACUCAAUGGCUUCAGGUUCCAUCGGAACUCUGAAGUUAAGCGUGUUCGGGUGAGAGCAUUCCCAAGAUGGGUGACCUACUGGGAAGUUCUCGUGCGAGUUCC